rnacentral:lncRNA from 10 species
AUCCCAGGGCCCUGUCACAUCGUAGCUGUUGCACACCAGAUACUAUCACAGCUCAGGGCCAAGCAGGGGCUGUGACAAGCCCCUGGGAAAUGCCAGUAUAUAAAGAUUGACAGGACAGGCCCUGGGUUGUUCUGCACAUGGAGGUUCCUGGGACGUGCCAUUAUUUGAGGGAUGCCAGAGCCCCACUCUGUGUCUAUAUCUGGGGUAUGACAAGGCCCUGGACUGUGACAUGGUUCUGGAAUGUGGCCACGCCCCGUGAGUGAGGUAUUGAGUUCUGGGCUGUGACAAGUUCUGACUGUGCCAGGGUACAGACUCUUAAUUCCUUCUGGAAUACUGAGAGUGCCGGGAAAUGACAGCUUAAUGUUCAGGGUACGUCUUAGUUUGUCUUGGAUCUUGUGACAGGGACAGCUGCAUUAGUCUUGGAGUGAAAGUGUAUCUGAGUAUGUUGGGCCACAUUUGCAGUAGUUUGUUCUGAACUCCAGAGCUAUUGACCAAGCCCGUCCUGCCUUCUGAGGUAUGGAAGACACUGAGGCCUCCUGACCCACGGCACAGCAUUCUCUGCUUCCAGCGCGUCUGCCUUGGGCCAUCACCCCAGAGAGUUUGAUCAAGGUCUGUCUUACCACACCCCCUCCCAAAUUCUUGCAGCUCCCAAAGCUGCUGGAGGCAGCACCUGAGCCUGUCUCUCCGCUGAGCUUCUUCACCCCAAGGACUGCCUGCUGGCUGCCCACUUCUCAUCAGGCAAGGCCACAGUGCCAUCUGCUGGCUAUUGGGAGCCAUGCUGGUCAGGUUGGGAGGGCACAGGAGCAUGCUAGGCUGACAAGGAGCACUGAGCUCUCCCCACCUCAGCUCAGGAAUAACAGAAGUGGCCUUUCCCUUAAGCCCCCACUGACCAGAGCCCCUCAUUCAGGCUUCAGUCACCAGAGCCCCCUGCUCAAGUCCUUUAGUUACCAUGGCCUCUAGGUCAGUCUCCUCAGGAAUCAGGGCCCCUUGUGCAGCCCCCAGUCCCACCCCCCACUGACCAGAGCCUCAGUGACCAGGGCCCCUAGGUCAUGCAUCCAAUGACCAGGGCCUCUUUCUAAGGCUCUCUACUGACCAGAACCCCUCAUUCUAGCUCCAUGGUGGUGAGGGCACCUCAUUUAGGCUUGGCUUCACAAUCAGGUCAUUCAAUGACCAGGACCUAUAGCUCUUGACCCCCAAAGACCAGGGCCUUUCUCAGACCCCCACGACCAGGUCCUUUCAGUGACCUAUAGUCCUCUCUUUUAGGACCCUCUGUGCCUAGGUUACUAAAGACCAUUACUCAGAGGACAUAAGGAGUGGUGUUUGUGGGGGCUCUUUGAUCCCCAAGAGCUGGACAGGUCCCAUCUGUUUCCUCUGUUUAUCGUCCCCUUCCCACUGGUCUCCAGAGAGGCCUCUGGCCACUGGGGCUUUCCAUUUUGUUUUGCCUGUGCUCCCGGGUCCCUCUUCAGACAUGGCCACAGCUGUGCCCAGGUCUCAUAACAAAGGUGGUCUCUGUUGAGUUAACUAAUCCCAUCCCGGGAACUGUGGCCCAAGAAGACUAGAUUCUAUAGCAUGGCAGCCCACCUGGGCCUCGCAUCUGCUGGCCCUCUAACACCAGACCACACACCCCUGUGCCAUCUCACCACCUCCCAUAGGCAGGCCUCCCAUCACAUCUAUCUCAGGCCGUAUUACCCAAAGGCCAAAUGCUUCCAGUCCCAGCAUCCCACCAGUCCCUGGCACCUGUCCUAGAUACCAAGUGUGACUUUUCCCAUUUUCCUUUUCUUCCAGACCCAAGCCUAAUCCAGGUCCUACCCUUCUCAGCCCCCAUCCCACUUGGGUUUAUUUACUUAUUCAAACAAACAUCAAAUGAGCAUCUACAUAUUAGGAUUCUAGAUAGGGGUGUGGGGUCAGUGUGCAGGGACGGCAGCAUAGAAGAGGGACUUUGGUUGAGACUUGAAGGAUGAAUAGGAGUUUGCCAAAGGGUCAAAGGAUAGGAAGCUAUUUGAGGAAGAAGAAACUGCAUAUACUACACAAAUAUACAGAGGACCCUGGUCAGCCAUGUGGUUGGAGCACAAAGUGAAAAGUGAGGAGAGAGGGAGAAGAGAGACUUGAACAGGGAAGCAGAGAACAACAGAU